AGUGGGGAAUAUUGCACAAUGGGGGAAACCCUGAUGCAGCCAUGCCGCGUGUGUGAAGAAGGCCUUCGGGUUGUAAAGCACUUUCAGUAGGGAGGAAAGGGUGAGUCUUAAUACGGCUUAUCUGUGACGUUACCUACAGAAGAAGGACCGGCUAACUCCGUGCCAGCAGCCGCGGUAAUACGGAGGGUCCGAGCGUUAAUCGGAAUUACUGGGCGUAAAGCGUGCGCAGGCGGUUUGUUAAGCGAGAUGUGAAAGCCCUGGGCUCAACCUAGGAAUAGCAUUUCGAACUGACAAACUAGAGUCUUGUAGAGGGGGGUAGAAUUCCAGGUGUAGCGGUGAAAUGCGUAGAGAUCUGGAGGAAUACCGGUGGCGAAGGCGGCCCCCUGGACAAAGACUGACGCUCAUGCACGAAAGCGUGGGGAGCAAA
rnacentral:rRNA from 1 species